UACGAAGGGGGCGAGCGUUGUUCGGAAUCACUGGGCGUAAAGGGCUCGUAGGCGGCCAACUAAGUCAUACGUGAAAUCCCUCGGCUUAACCGGGGAACUGCGUCUGAUACUGGAUGGCUUGAGAUUGGGAGAGGGAUGCGGAAUUCCAGGUGUAGCGGUGAAAUGCGUAGAUAUCGGGAGGAACACCGGUGGCGAAGGCGGCGACCUGGGACAAUACUGACGCUGAGGUGCGAAAGCGUGGGGAGCAAACAGG
rnacentral:rRNA from 1 species